GCUGGAAUAGCUCAGUCAGUAGAGCAUGAGACUCCUAAUGUCAGGGUCUUGGGUUGGGGCCCCAUGUGGGGCA